rnacentral:lncRNA from 1 species
GCCCUAAAAUACUUCAAAUCGACAAAAUAUGAAUACAGGAUAUCAUGAUUCAUAAAAGAAAGUAUUAUUCAAGAAAAAGCUCAUAGUAUUAAUAUAUAAAAUUAUAUACAUGUACAAGUUUUCUAUAAAGUUACAAGUAAUAGAUUACAUAAAAUCAUAUGAAUACACAAUGUCAACUUUUAAACUUAUAUACUAAUCAAGAACAAGGAUGUGUCCAUAGUACACGGAUGUCCCACUCGCACUAUUAUUUUUUUCUAUGUUCAGUGGACCGUAAAAUUAGGGUCAAAACUCUAAUUUGGCAUUAACAUUAGAAAGAUCAUGUCAUAGGUAACAUGUGUACUAAGUUUCAAGUUGAUUUGACUUCCAACUUCAUCAAAAACUACCUUGACCAAAAUCUUUAACCUGAAGCAGGACAGACGAAGGAACAGACGAACGAACGGACGUACAGACUAGAAAACAUGACCAUUAAACUGAAAUAUAUAGACAAAUACAAAAGUUGAGAUAUAUUGAUUUAUCU